rnacentral:rRNA from 1 species
UACGUAGGGUGCAAGCGUUGUCCGGAUUUAUUGGGCGUAAAGAGCGUGUAGGCGGCCAGGUAGGUCGGUUGUGAAAACUCGAGGCUCAACCUCGAGAUGUCGACCGAAACCAUCUGGCUAGAGUCCGGAAGAGGAGAAUGGAAUUCCCGGCGUAGCGGUGAAUGCGUAGAUAUCGAGAGGAACACCUGCGGCGAAGGCGGGUUGCUGGGCCGACACUGACGCUGAUGCGCGAAAGCCAGGGGAGCGAACGGG